UCAUGGCUCAGGAUGAACGCUGGCGGCGUGCUUAACACAUGCAAGUCGAACGAAGCGCAUUGUUUGAAUUCUUCGGAAGGAAGAUAAUGUGACUGAGUGGCGGACGGGUGAGUAACGCGUGGGUAACCUGCCAUGUACAGGGGGACAACAGUUGGAAACGGCUGCUAAUACCGCAUAAGCGCACGAGAUUGCAUGAUCUAGUGUGAAAAACUCCGGUGGUAUAUGAUGGACCCGCGUCUGAUUAGCUAGUUGGUAAGGUAACGGCUUACCAAGGUGACGAUCAGUAGCCGACCUGAGAGGGUGACCGGCCACAUUGGGACUGAGACACGGCCCAGACUCCUACGGGAGGCAGCAGUGGGGAAUAUUGCACAAUGGGCGAAAGCCUGAUGCAGCGACGCCGCGUGAACGAAGAAGUAUUUCGGUAUGUAAAGUUCUAUCAGCAGGGAAGAAGAAAUGACGGUACCUGACUAAGAAGCCCCGGCUAACUACGUGCCAGCAGCCGCGGUAAUACGUAGGGGGCAAGCGUUAUCCGGAUUUACUGGGUGUAAAGGGAGCGCAGGCGGCCCGGCAAGUCUGAUGUGAAAACCCAAGGCCAACCAUGGGAUUGCAUUGGAAACUGUCGAGCUAGAGUAUCGGAGGGGUAAGUGGAAUUCCUAGUGUAGCGGUGAAAUGCGUAGAUAUUAGGAGGAACACCAGUGGCGAAGGCGGCUUAC
rnacentral:rRNA from 1 species